GGCGGCUAGGUUUCCUCUUUCAUCCAAAUUUUUUUCGAUAAAAUAAGUAAUUAAGAGGUAGAAGGAUACUUCUAUGCCUCUUAAUAAUCAGAUGAUGAUCUCAUAUAAAAAUUUCAUCAGAGAUUAAAAUGGAUAAAGAUGGAAUGUGGCAUUCCAUCCCAUGGGGCACCAAAUAUUUCUUUGUGCAUAAAAUAAUCUUCACACGUC
rnacentral:lncRNA from 1 species